ACGAUGUGCCAGCUUGCUGGUGGAUUAAUGGCGAACGGGUGAGUAACACGUGAGUAACCUGCCCUUGACUCUGGGAUAAGCCUGGGAAACUGGGUCUAAUACCGGAUAUGACCUUCCAUCGCAUGGUGGUUGGUGGAAAGCUUUUGUGGUUUUGGAUGGACUCGCGGCCUAUCAGCUUGUUGGUGGGGUAAUGGCCUACCAAGGCGACGACGGGUAGCCGGCCUGAGAGGGUGACCGGCCACACUGGGACUGAGACACGGCCCAGAAUCCUACGGGAGGCAGCAGUGGGGAAUAUUGCACAAUGGGCGCAAGCCUGAUGCAGCGACGCCGCGUGAGGGAUGACGGCCUUCGGGUUGUAAACCUCUUUCAGUAGGGAAGAAGCGUAAGUGACGGUACCUGCAGAAGAAGCGCCGGCUAACUACGUGCCAGCAGCCGCGGUAAUACGUAGGGCGCAAGCGUUAUCCGGAAUUAUUGGGCGUAAAGAGCUCGUAGGCGGUUUGUCGCGUCUGCCGUGAAAGUCCGGGGCUCAACUCCGGAUCUGCGGUGGGUACGGGCAGACUAGAGUGAUGUAGGGGAGACUGGAAUUCCUGGUGUAGCGGUGAAAUGCGCAGAUAUCAGGAGGAACACCGAUGGCGAAGGCAGGUCUCUGGGCAUUAACUGACGCUGAGGAGCGAAAGCAUGGGGAGCGAACAGGAUUAGAUACCCUGGUAGUCCAUGCCGUAAACGUUGGGCACUAGGUGUGGGGGACAUUCCACGUUUUCCGCGCCGUAGCUAACGCAUUAAGUGCCCCGCCUGGGGAGUACGGCCGCAAGGCUAAAACUCAAAGGAAUUGACGGGGGCCCGCACAAGCGGCGGAGCAUGCGGAUUAAUUCGAUGCAACGCGAAGAACCUUACCAAGGCUUGACAUGGACCGGAUCGCCGCAGAAAUGUGGUUUCCCCUUUGGGGCUGGUUUACAGGUGGUGCAUGGUUGUCGUCAGCUCGUGUCGUGAGAUGUUGGGUUAAGUCCCGCAACGAGCGCAACCCUCGUUCUAUGUUGCCAGCACGUGAUGGUGGGGACUCAUAGGAGACUGCCGGGGUCAACUCGGAGGAAGGUGGGGACGACGUCAAAUCAUCAUGCCCCUUAUGUCUUGGGCUUCACGCAUGCUACAAUGGCCGGUACAAAGGGUUGCGAUACUGUGAGGUGGAGCUAAUCCCAAAAAGCCGGUCUCAGUUCGGAUUGGGGUCUGCAACUCGACCCCAUGAAGUCGGAGUCGCUAGUAAUCGCAGAUCAGCAACGCUGCGGUGAAUACGUUCCCGGGCCUUGUACACACCGCCCGUCAAGUCACGAAAGUUGGUAACACCCGAAGCCGGUGGCCUA
rnacentral:rRNA from 1 species